rnacentral:lncRNA from 1 species
ACCAGUGAUGGAAAUGUGUUCCGAAAAUAUGUUUAAUAUAAUUUGGCACAACUGAAGUGAUAAAAAUAUAGUAGUUAGACCAUUUAUAUUCACAAUUAUUUAACAUUGUAUCUUAUUUUCUACCUCAAAUGAUUUAAUCUUUUCCAUAUUGGUAUGGUCCUGGCCGAUAACUCUUUGUGUGGCAGCCUGAGAGAAUAUGGAAGACACUGUCAGUGUUGGAAGAUGGUGGUUUUAUCACUUUUCAUUGCACUGUCUUUAAAACAUGGGCAAAUUGACUAAAAGAAGACUACAGAAGAAAUAAUGGUGAUUGUGAAUUUGGUAUGAAGCAUGGAUGUUAAUUAAUCACACAUGUUCUCUGAGGUCCAUUGUAAAAGGAGACCUAGUCUUCAGGGAGAGAGCCACUAAUGGGGAGAUCUUAUUCCUAGAAUUUUGUGGUUAUAUUAUUAUUCAUGAACCAAUGAAUAAUAAAUGAAUGAUAUAAAGGAAGAAAAACGUGCUUGGACCAAUGAUGAGUACCAUGGGGUAUCUGAAACAGGAUUUUUGAUUAAACCCAUAUGCAAUUCUGAGGUCCAUUACAAAGAGACACGUAUUAUUCCUUUUUUGGGAAGUGAGCCUAUGGUACCUUUUCCUUGGACUUUGUGGUUCUUGGGGAUGGAUUGCAUUUUUGUUAUAAAAUCAGCCCAUGAAUUAAAAAUUUAUCAAUGAGUAAAACAUAAAGCAUAAGUCAUGUACUUAUUAUCAGUGACUGUAAUGAAACAUGGAUUAUUAUUAAAACUUAUCUGAGACUCCCAAUAAAUUAAUACCCAAGGCUUCUACCAUUCUGGUAAGGAGCAUAUGGUCAUUUGUAUGCAAGAGUCAGUUUUUGUUCUGUGUUGGUGGUGGGUUGCUGACUAUUUUAUGAAGAAAAUGAAGCAUCUUUAAUCAUAUAAAUAGUUGGUUAAAUAACCACUUAAUUGAGACCAAGCAGAGACCAAUGAUGAGUGUAUUAAUCUAUUUUUUAAUGGAUUUUUAUUAAACAAAUAAUAAAAGAAACACAGUCUAUUCUUCCUGAGGGCAAUAACUCUAGACAGAUGUAAAUAUUCUUCAGUGUUCUUGUCCAGUGCUGUGAGAUCACAGAUACUGAUGUCUUUUGUAUAUGAGAAGGAACUUGCAUUUUUAUGUCUCAGUUUAUAUUUUAGAGUCAGCAAACCAUGGACCAAUUAGGAACAAAUGUUAUGAUAUGAGAAUGCUGAUUCUUGUUUUUUUUUUUCAUGAUAGACAUUCUAAGAAAAACUCUAGGCUCUCUCAUUGUUUUUGGAAUACAUACAUGGUUCUUUCCAAGUAGUUUCUUAGAAAAAUGUUUUUAAAAAGAGGCUUUUAAAAAGAGCCUUUUAAAAUGUUUUUAAAAGAAGGCUUUAUUUUUCUCUAUAGAAUGAAAACCAUGUAGCUGGUCUUAUUAUUCUCUAAUCAUGAAGACCAUUAUUGUUAUUUGUGGACUAAGGAGCAGAAAGACUGAUGUAAGUAAACAUCAAAUUGAUGUUUUGGGCUUGGACUGUAUUCAUUCAUGGGAACCCACUACAUUAUUUUGAUAAAAUAAAUGGUUAAAUAACACAUGAAAUUAAGGAAUGCCAGUCAUGGACCUAUGAUUGUAAUGUGUCAUCAACAAAAUUUUAUGAUUAAUUCAACCCAACCCAACUGAAGACCAUUGUUAAAUAAAGGAAGAGCAUUUCAUAUAUUGUCAUAGUAAUUUAAAUUCCCAUUUAAUGUUUUUGCUAUAGUUGCUUAACAUAUUCCUUCACGGACAGACAUUGAAGUUGUUGAGUUUUUGAGGUAGAGGUACCUUGGGAGAUAUUAUAUAUUAAUUUGCUUAAUUGUGGGCUCACAUGGUAGAUCCAUGGUUUGCAAUCACAUUAAUGAGUAGACAAAUCAAGUGGAAGGGAAGCUGGUAGACACCAAUCAUAAGUAUGAGAUUUAAAUGCAGCAGAGUCGCUGAUGAAUCUCUAUGUGUAAACUUGAGGUUGAUCACAAAAUAUGAUCUAGUCUAUUUGUUCUGCAUGAAAGAGAGUAAUGAACAGAUCUUGGUUCUAUUAAAGACUUCUGUUCUCAGUUUUGUGUCAUUAAGGGAUAUUGAUCAUAUAAUUAUUAUUCCUGAAACCAUGAAUGACUGAGUCAGUUCAACAAGGUAUAAAUGAAUGAAGAAAUAGAAUGCCUAGCCUGGAUCAAUGAUGAGUAUUGGUGGAGGUGUCUGAAUCAACACUUUUGAUUAAGCCCUCUGUGUAACUCUGAGAUCUGUUAUUGAAUGAGAACCAGCCUAUAUUCUCUGUAGAAAUUACCUAAUAGAAGUUAGGAAAAUUCAAUAAAACUUGUUCCUGAACUUUUGUAGUUCAAAGAUAUGGAAUGUAUUAUUUUAAGUGAAUUCAAUGCGUAAAUAGAGAAAUGUGUAUACAUGAGAGAAGAUUAACAGUCCUACUUAUGGAACUAUUCUUUGAGUACAAUGAAAAAGUAUUAUAAAUAUUAACACUGGCAAUAAAACAAGUAUAAUUAUUAAUCUGAGGUAAAAUCCUAUUAUACAGAACAUAUUGUAUCUGCAGUUGAGACAAUUUUUUUGGUUUUAUAGUUUGCUUUUUUUUUAAUUAAGAAAAGGGAAAGUGUUUGCAUCAGCCAGAAAUCCAUUAAGUAAUAUCUACUUAACAGAUUUUUAUAUAGACAAAUAUUCAUAAUCAUUACAGAUCUUAUUCUUGGGCUAGGUGACGCAUUAGUGUCUAUUAUACUAUUUAAAACUAAAAGUUCAAUACUGGCCUGAAAAAAUUGCAUUUUUGAGCCAAGGUUUAUUGUUAUCUAGUUCUGCUUGACUAACAUCCAUUGAGAAAACCGUAUAUCUAUUCUAAAUCUGCCUUUUUCCCUCCAGAGUGGACAUAGGCCAGCUGAUUUAAUAAUUUAAGAAAGAACUGUUAUCCUGAGUAAGGAGCAUAGAGACAAAUAUAAAAUGAACGCACUCUACCUGAUUUAAUUAUAGUCUUCUGGUGAAGAUCUUGCUGUUAUCUCUGUGAAUCAGGAGAGAAGAGAUUGAUGAAUAGACGAGAUUGGAUUUGGUCAUUUCCCCAAGGUGAAGAGCAUGGCGAUUUCUUCUGUGGUAAGGAGCAAUAAUGAAGACCAUGGUUGAUUUAAUCAGUCUCUGCUGAUGAAGAUCUUGGCUGUUACCUUUGUGUGUAAGGAAGCUAAAGACUUAAGUAAAUAACAGUCCAAAAACUUGUCAAUUAGGGUAAAUUUUUCAUUAAUGUUCACUGAAUUAUUUAAAGUUAAGGCAUAUGUAGAUCAAUGAGAUGAAUGUGUUAUGAAACUUAGAUUGUGGUUAGUCCAAUUAAGCACAAUUUUGGUUAAAAAUAAGAUGAAAGACAUUUUAUUCAUUUUUUUAUCUGAUUAAUAAUUCAUCUUAUUUUGUACUGCAUUUAAUUUAAGAUUUAUUCACUAAUAAAAUCUAUGGCUG